AUUGAACGCUGGCGGCAGGCCUAACACAUGCAAGUCGAACGGUAACAGGGAUCAGCUUGCUGAUUCGCUGACGAGUGGCGGACGGGUGAGUAAUGUCUGGGAAACUGCCUGAUGGAGGGGGAUAACUACUGGAAACGGUAGCUAAUACCGCAUAACGUCGCAAGGCCAAAGAGGGGGACCUUCGGGCCUCUUGCCAUCGGAUGUGCCCAGAUGGGAUUAGCUAGUAGGUGGGGUAACGGCUCACCCAGGCGACGAUCACUAGCUGGUCUGAGAGGAUGACAAGCAACCAUGGAACAAAGGCACGGUCCACACCACUACGGGAGGCAGCAGUGGGGAAUAUUGCACAAUGGGCGCAAGCCUGAUGCAGCCAUGCCGCGUGUAUGAAGAAGGCCUUCGGGUUGUAAAGUACUUUCAGCGGGGAGGAAGGGAGUAAAGUUAAUACCUUAGCUCAUUGACGUUACCCGCAGAAGAAGCACCGGCUAGCUCCGUG
rnacentral:rRNA from 1 species